GGGAAAGCACAGUUGGUAGAGCAUCUGCUUUGCAUGCAGGAGGUCUCAGGUUCAGUCCCGACUAUCUCCA